GGAGCAGCUUGGUAGCUCGUCGGGCUCAUAACCCGAAGGUCGUUGGUUCAAAUCCGGCCCCCGCAA
rnacentral:tRNA from 1 species